UGGGGAAUUUUUCGCAAUGGAGGAAACUCUGACGAAGCAACGCCGCGUGGAGGAUGAAGGCCCUCGCGGUCGUAAACUCCUGUCUAGCGGGACGAAAGCAACCAAGGUGAAUAAUCUUGGAUGUUGACUGUACCGCUGGAGGAAGCUCCGGCCAACUCCGUGCCAGCAGCCGCGGUAAUACGGAGGGAGCAAGCGUUACUCGGAAUUAUUGGGCGUAAAGGGCGCGUAGGCGAUUUGAUAAGUCUCGUGUGAAAUCCCAGAGCUUAACUCUGGAAUGGCACGGGAUACUGUUGAAUUUGAGUUCCGGAGAGGAAGGCAGAAUUCCCGGUGUAGCGGUGAAAUGCGUAGAUAUCGGGAGGAAUACCAGUGGCGAAGGCGGCCUUCUGGACGGAUACUGACGCUGAGGCGCGAAAGCCAGGGGAGCAAACGGG
rnacentral:rRNA from 1 species